CUGGACUUGACUGUGAUGUAAACAGUCUGUCACUUGUUUCACCAGCAUCUGGUCCAAUCAUAACUUCUUCCUUUGAUGGGGUCAGCACUCUUACUAUAUCUUCCACGGCACCAGAAAUUUUGUCAUUUAUAAUAGUUUGGGUUAAAGUUUCAUUCUCCAACCAGAAAAGAAGGUUUUGUAAGAACCUUUCCACUGAAUCUUCUACGAGCACAUAUGGCACCUUAGGAGCAGAGGGUACGUUACAGUCACCCUGUGAAGUCUUAGACAUGUCAGACUGUGAGAGACUUUUACCCAUUUGCAUCGUGGGAGCUGGAUAUGUUGACUCAACAUGGUCGUACACUUUAUCUGUCAACUCCCUUGAAAACAUCUCGAUUUCCUUACUUGUCAGGUCAAGGUGUCCUGCCUGUGUUAAUUUACUAAACAGUUUAUCCAUAACCGGCAUGACUGUUCUAAAUUUGAGUGGAGAAGAACUUUUAACUGUGGUUUCUAAGGUUGGUGAUUUUCUGGGAACUUCUGAGGGAUUCAUGUGUACGCUUUUCCUGGAGUCAGCUCUCUCACUCUCAGCGGAGUUUGCCUGUUGUCUGUGAAAGGGCGCAUGAUGCAAAAAAGUCUUUCACCUUUUUGAUCACCAGGUCCACAUCAAAAGCAGGCUUGGGUGAGCUACACUUCUCACUUAAUGUGAUAUCUUCUGCAUCAGGAUACUGAAUGUUAGCAAUUAACACAUUUACAAUGUCAGCUGCAGCUUUAUCUGCAUCAUCUUCAUCAUGUAAAUAAUUCAGACUGUUGAGGAUUGUUUCAAUAUCAUUUCGAGCUUUCUCCUCAGCUUCUGCAAACUCAUCACUUUCUUUUUUCUCCAUGGGUUGCAGUUCUAUGUGACAGUCCUCGUCAUCUUUACUUAUCUCUCUGUCUGUACUCCACCUCAUGAGACCCAUACUUAUUUCUUUAAUUGUUCCCAUCUCAGAGAGCUUGGAUUCAAGACUCUCAACGCUUGAACUAAAGGAGCUGGGUAAAGUCUUCAUGCACAGGCAGCUCAGCUUACCUUUAUAUUUCUUCAGAUAUGAGAAAGCAUGAGAAACCAUGCAUCUGAGGUUUUUUAUGUUUGUUAUUUUUCUGGUGACAUAAAUAGAUUCAGGGUUUUCUGGGACUAGAACCCAACCCGAGUUGACUUUAUUUGAGAUCUCCUCCUCAACCAUCUGUGUCAGCUCCACAGCGCUGUCACACUCCUCAUGGGUGACAUUAAGAGCGGCAGCAAAGCUGGUUGAGAGAGAGUUUCCCAAUAUGGGGCUUAUUUUUGUCACGGCUAUGCUAAGGCUUGUCUGAAAUGACGCAUCAUUUAAUUGGUCCUGACCUCCUAGAAUUGAAGUUUUUAUGGUGCUUGCGCUAACUGACUGUAUGACAUCAGUAAUCAUAUCAGCCAGUGCUACUUGGACAUCGGAGUCCCAGAUCCCAUUUUCUAUCAAGCCCCACUGUAAUCCAGAGAGCCUAUCGAAACACCCGCUGAUAGCAGGUAAAAUAUCCUCUGAAUUAAUGGGGGUAGGGGUUCUAACACUGGAUAAAGACAUUGUCAAUGACUUAGCUUCGCUACAAUUACGUUGGACAUCCGUUUCCAGAAAGCUUUCAGAAAGGGAAGAUCGCGGUCUGUACAUUUAACGUACGACAACUAAAAAUGCAAAAUGCAAGAUUCAGGUAUAAAGCCUGCUGUUUCACCCCUAUUUAUGGCUUCAGGUGGAGGUCACGUGCUGCAAGAUCAGAG
ensembl:lncRNA